rnacentral:lncRNA from 1 species
CCUACAUUUACCAGGGCCUCCCUCAAACUAAUUCCACAAUUAAACACAAUAGUAUUUUACAAAUUUUUGUUGUUUACUAGGAAUCUUUGUGCAUCAGAGUAAAGACUGGUUGUUAUACAGUCCUUUCAGUCAGACCCUACUCAUUGCCUGCAUCCUAACCCCUUAUUGAAAUGGAAAUUUGCUUCACAUCAUUUCCUUUCUUAUCAUAUAGUAUGCUGACUAGAAAUAUCAAGAAUCUGGGAUCAAUUUGCAUUUGAAUUUUGGCUUAUUUGCUUACCAGCUAUAUAACUUUGGGUAAGUUAUUUAUCCCUCUAAACCUUAACUGUACUAUGAGGAAAAUACUUUCCUCAUAAAUCUGUUGUGAGAGUUAAAAUAUAUGAAAUUACCUGCCACACAGCACACACUCAAAAAGUAGUACAUAUUAUUAUAAAAAUGUCUUCUCCUAUCUCGUACAUAUAACAGUGAAGUUGGGAAGAACAUAAGAAUUUAUCUAAUCCAGCCCCAUAAUACAAAUAAACCCAAAGUCAAAGGAAGUAAAGUUUCACAUCUCUUGUUUCUGCUUGCCCCAGAUCAUUCAUGAAUCAUCUCCUGUGUAUCAACACAAUAUUUACUACAUGUUAACACAAUUGCACCUCAGAUUUCCUGAUUAAAUGCUUACUUGAAUAGCUUUUCAUCUUCCCUUUGAGUGAGAUUUAGUAUGGAAUUACUUUCAACUACUUGGCCCAGAAAUAGCUAUCUUAUCUCUAUCCAUGAUAUUUAGUCUCAAGGACAAAAUACCCCUAUGUCCCUCACUCUGAAAGGCAGUUAUUGCCUCAGCUUUCUGGAAUCCAAGAACCCCCUUUUAGACACCAGAACAUGUAGUCUUGAUGGCAGCUAUUUAUUUUAUCAUCACUAUAGAUUGACCCAUCUUUGGCUAUUGAAUCUCUCCUACAUUGUUGAACAUGUAGGAGAGAUUCAAUAGCCAUCAGUCAGGCCCAACGUUGUGGCAGUGUCUAAUGCAUAGGUUCUCAGCUGGGGAAGAAGAUAAUUUUGGUCUUUCAGUAGACAUUUGGUAAUGGUGGAAGACAUUUUUCAUUGUCACAACUGUGGGAAAUGUUCUACUGCAGUUAGUGGAUAGAGGCCAGGGAUGCUGCUAAAUAUCCUACAAUACACAGAACAGGCUCCUAUAACUAAAAGAUUAUUUGGCCCAGAAUGUUAAUAGUGUGAGGAUGAUAAAUUCUGGCUUUUUAGACCAAAGUCUUGUUCACUUAGCCUUGUCUUAUAGUGUCAUAACUUACUAAUAAGUUCUACAAUAGGACAUUUCCAUCAAGAUACAAUGCCUUAUCAUUUCUUCCCAUAGAAACUUCUUCCUCUGCCUUCAUUAAGGGUUUUAAUCAUUUAUAGUCUAAUACUCUCUUAAUAGCUAAUGGCUCUCUUUUAUCUUUUCAACAAAGCCAUGAGUAAUUUGGGGGCAGUAUCCCCAUUCCCUGUAUUCUAAAGCUCUUUUGUGUGUACAGUAUUAAAUAAUCCAUAAAAAUAAUAACCUAGAUUCAUAUCAAAUCUUUCAGAACGCUCCCACUUUCUGGGCAAGGGCCCCAAAAGAAAAAGAAUAGGGUCCUUCUUUAUGGAAAUAUUCAAACUACUUGAAGUCAAACAAGUCAAAUCUCCUUGGCUUCAUGAAUCUCCAUCCAUUCCCACCCAUUCUUGAGUAUUCCUGGGUUUUGUCUCAGCUUUUGAUUUCUUUGCAAUCAGAGUUUUCUUCUGCUUAUCUUUAAGUGCUUUCUCCACUAGUUACCAUAAUACCUUGUGUCUCUGACUACUCUCUCCAAUAAUACCUACAGCACCCAGGAUUUCCUGUGUCAUAACAGUUAACAUUUGAAUUUCUUUUUCAGUGCCUUUCUUCCCCAAAAGACUUUUAGCCACAUGAAGGCAGAGAAAAAUCCUGUCCUCUUCAUUAUUAUAUCCCCAGCAUCUUAACAGAAUGCCUAACACAUAGUAGGCAUUUAGUGGAUAUUUAUUGAAUGAAUGCAGCACCUCUGUGCCUGGCCUGAAAUUAUACUGUCUCACAUUUCUCUCUGGCCCACAUUAGUAAAUAACAAAAUUUAUUUCCCUUGUCAUAAAUGCAUUUGAGAUUUUUUUUUCCAAAACGAGUUUCAUUAAAACAUAAUGGAGGGCUGGGAUUGUGGUCAGAGGUAUAGUGCUUACCUAGCAGCAUGCAUGAAGCACUGGGUUCAAUCCUCAGCACCACAUAAAAAUAAAAUAAAGGUAUUGUGUCCACCCACAACUAAAAAAUAAAAGUUCAAAAACAAAAUAAUGGAUUGGUAGAGCACUUGCCUCACAUGCGUGAGGCAAUGGGUUUGAUCCUCAACACCACAUAAAUAAAUAAAAUGAAAG